GUUUAUACUAAGUGACCCAUAGGUUGAAGAGGCAGUGACCAUGGUGGUAUAGGUGGAAGCAGCGGUGGAGGAGGAGGAGGAUGAGGUUGCCAACACUGUUUUUUAUGUUUAAUUUUUUUAAUUGUGAUAGACCCCAAAAUAUUGGGACAUAGAAUAAAAAAAAAAAACUUUUGCAGGCACUUUGUUGACUCUAGAGAACCUCGGGCCAAUCGCACAUCCCCAUGACGGAGACUUUGCAUUUGGAUGUCAUUCAUAUCAACUUUCGAUGCCAGUUUCUGCGCAUACCAUGGUGACCAUGGGUAAUGGGGAAAUCAGGGUUCCAUUCCAUGCAGGGACCCAGAGAAACGGCUACCAUAUGCAAGGAAG